CGCCCCGCUCUGCCCGCCGCCACCCCGCGGGGCCGCGUCCCUCCGCGGCGAGGGGCUGCCCCGCGGGCGGCGGGAGAGAAGAGGGAGAGGAGGGGGAGAGCAGAGCUCCGCGCCGCGCCGGCCGGGCGCCCGCCCCCGCCCUGCCCCGGGCUGCGCGGCGGCGGCGGCUGCGGCUCCUUACCGUUCUGCUCCUUGGCGCCGGAGAAGGCGAACUUGCUGCUGAGGUCGGACUCGGCGACGGCCCCCUGCCUCCGGCCGGCCAGGGCAGAUGUCAGCAGGAACAGCCCGAGGAGGAGCAUUGGGCCGGCGGGGCGAGGGGCUCCGGCACAGCAGGCACUGGCGGCGAGGCACCGAGGCCCGGGCGUCUCUCAGCAGCGCCCGGCGCGGGCUGCGCCGCUGGGGAGAAGGCAGCACUGAGCCUGCUCUGGCAGCGGAGAAUUGCAGGAACUUGCUGUUUUGGCUAUCCUGAGCUGGACUUUUAACGUUGACAUAAGCAGAUGGAAAUGCAGGUUCAACUCUUUUUAACUGUCCCUUGCUUGCUGAAAUACCAUGCAGUACUCCGUGAGGUGGUAUCCGUAAAGCAGACAGGAUUGGAUUGCCUUCUGCUGUUUCAUCAAAAAUCAGAGCCGAGUUUGUGGGAAGGAGUCCUCACCCCAUUGACACUGGUGAGGAUUAAAAGGAAUGAUGAUGUUCAGCACCCAUAUAGAUCUCCAUUAGAGAUGGCAUUUCUAGUUUGCCAAAGGGUUUGAACUGCGGCUAUGCGAUGAGUCUGGGUACCAGGACUGAACACUAACUACAUACCAGGAGGCUGAAAGAAGCAGUAGGAAGGACAAAUCUUUCUUUCUUGACUGAGAAGUUUUGGGAGAGUUUCUUAAUUGUGACUUCAGCCCCCAUAUCUCUGAGGUGGUUUUGGGGAUGGAUGGGAAGAGCUAUAUAACGAUGGUAUCACUUACUGUCUGUGCAAGAUACACAAGAGAGAAACUGAGUCUGCUCUGCCAGAGUCUCGAGCACACACUACAUAAAUUUCUUAUCCUUUGACCUAGCUCUUUCCAUUAUAUAACUGAGCUAUUUCUUCGCCUCAGCCAAAGCAACCCUUGAGACAGUGAUAAACAACCCCUCUGUUCCUAAUAAGUGACAUAUUUCCAGUAGCAACUGAAAGCUGUCCAGCCAAGUUGGGCUGUCUUCUGAAAAGCUGGCUUGAAGCAUAUCGUAAAUAGCAACCCUUCACUUACAGAGCAUGAAGAAAGAAAUGUACUGCACAAAGCAGACUAUGUAGUUACUUUUAUUAUUGUUAGCAUUACUAUUUCUUCCGUUUCACUGUUGUUAUUUUUAAAUGGAAAUAAAAAUAACAUGUACUGGUUCACAGGUCUCCUACCCCGAUGAUUACAAGCAGUGGGUUUUUAAAAUCAAAUAAACAAAGUAUUGCACUGUAGCUUAA